UGCCUGUGUAUGAGGUGCUUCCCUUUUUCU
rnacentral:piRNA from 1 species